rnacentral:rRNA from 1 species
GUGGGGAAUUUUGCACAAUGGGCGAAAGCCUGAUGCAGCGACGCCGCGUGAGGGAUGGAGGCCUUCGGGUUGUGAACCUCUUUCGCUCAUGGUCAAGCCGCAACUGUGGUUGUGGUGAGGGUAGUGGGUAAAGAAGCGCCGGCUAACUACGUGCCAGCAGCCGCGGUAAUACGUAGGGCGCGAGCGUUGUCCGGAAUUAUUGGGCGUAAAGGGCUUGUAGGCGGUUUGUCGCGUCUGCCGUGAAAUCCUCUGGCUCAACUGGGGGCGUGCGGUGGGUACGGGCAGGCUUGAGUGCGGUAGGGGAGACUGGAAUUCCUGGUGUAGCGGUGGAAUGCGCAGAUAUCAGGAGGAACACCGGUGGCGAAGGCGGGUCUCUGGGCCGUUACUGACGCUGAGGAGCGAAAGCGUGGGGAGCGAACAGG